GCUUCCGUAGCUCAGUUGGUUAGAGCUUCGUACUAAUACUAGAGCUUCCACAGCUCCAAUAUUGGUAAUGCGAAGGUCGCAGGUUCAAGCCCUGCCGGGAGCA
rfam:Trichoderma reesei QM6a unplaced genomic scaffold TRIREscaffold_38, whole genome shotgun sequence.